GAUGAACGCUGACAGAAUGCUUAACACAUGCAAGUCAACUUGAAUUUGGGUUUUUAACUUAGGUUUGGGUGGCGGACGGGUGAGUAACGCGUAAAGAACUUGCCUCACAGCUAGGGACAACAUUUGGAAACGAAUGCUAAUACCUAAUAUUAUGAUAAUAGGGCAUCCUAUAAUUAUGAAAGCUAUAAGCGCUGUGAGAGAGCUUUGCGUCCCAUUAGCUAGUUGGAGAGGUAACGGCUCACCAAGGCGAUGAUGGGUAGCCGGCCUGAGAGGGUGAUCGGCCACAAGGGGACUGAGACACGGCCCUUACUCCUACGGGAGGCAGCAGUGGGGAAUAUUGGACAAUGGACCAAGAGUCUGAUCCAGCAAUUCUGUGUGCACGAUGAAGUUUUUCGGAAUGUAAAGUGCUUUCAGUUGGGAAGAAAGAAAUGACGGUACCAACAGAAGAAGUGACGGCUAAAUACGUGCCAGCAGCCGCGGUAAUACGUAUGUCACGAGCGUUAUCCGGAUUUAUUGGGCGUAAAGCGCGUCUAGGUGGUUAUGUAAGUCUGAUGUGAAAAUGCAGGGCUCAACUCUGUAUUGCGUUGGAAACUGUAUAACUAGAGUACUGGAGAGGUAAGCGGAACUACAAGUGUAGAGGUGAAAUUCGUAGAUAUUUGUAGGAAUGCCGAUGGGGAAGCCAGCUUACUGGGACAGAUACUGACGCUGAAGCGCGAAAGCGUGGGUAGCAAACAGG
rnacentral:rRNA from 1 species